UGGGGAAUCUUGGACAAUGGGGGCAACCCUGAUCCAGCCAUGCCGCGUGAGUGAUGAAGGCCUUAGGGUCGUAAAGCUCUUUCGCCUGUGAAGAUAAUGACGGUAGCAGGUAAAGAAACCCCGGCUAACUCCGUGCCAGCAGCCGCGGUAAUACGGAGGGGGUUAGCGUUGUUCGGAAUUACUGGGCGUAAAGCGCACGUAGGCGGACCAGAAAGUUGGGGGUGAAAUCCCGGGGGCUCAACCCCGGAACUGCCUCCAAAACUAUUGGUCUAGAGUUCGAGAGAGGUGAGUGGAAUUCCAAGUGUAGAGGUGAAAUUCGUAGAUAUUUGGAGGAACACCAGUGGCGAAGGCGGCUCACUGGCUCGAUACUGACGCUGAGGUGCGAAAGUGUGGGGAGCAAAACAGGAUUAGAUACCCUGGUAGUCCACACCGUAAAACGAUGAAUGCCAGUCGUCGGGGUAGCAUGCUAUUCGGUGACACACCUAACGGAUUAAGCAUUCCGGCCUGGGGAGUACGGUCGCAAGAUUAAAA
rnacentral:rRNA from 1 species